rnacentral:rRNA from 1 species
UACGUAGGGGGCAAGCGUUGUCCGGAUUUAUUGGGCGUAAAGAGCGUGUAGGCGGCCUGACAGGUCUGCUGUGAAAACUCGAGCUCAACCUCGAGACGCCGAUGGAAACCCUCCAGCUAGAGUCCGGAAGAGGAGAGUGGAAUUCCUGGUGUAGCGGUGAAAUGCGCAGAUAUCAGGAAGAACACCCGUGGCUAAGGCGGCUCUCUAGUACGGUACUGACGCUGAGACGCGAAAGCGUGGGGAGCGAACAGG